ACCACCGAAAGCCACAGUCGGUCAUGACCGUCAAUGUCAUCUGACGUCUGGAAAGAACGACACAGCAGAAGCCAAAAACGAGGACCGAGGAUGGAAUAAAAACAGCUGGAAUCAGCGAGUCCAGCUCUCUAUCAGUGAACGAUAUCGUCGAAGGUCAAAGUUGGCCAUUAGUGAAGUGACGCGUGGUGAAACCCCGGUUGUGAAGUGCCUGUAGUUUCGACGGGCGGUCCUCGCUGCUUCAACCCCUUGUGGACGCGGGUUAUUCAUCAUCCAAUUCAAGAAGUGAACCGUCGAAAGCCUUCAUGUGGAGAAAGCCAAGCUGUAAGAACCAAGCCCGGACCGCGCAGAGAAACCGUUGCUCGCUGUUAGAGGUUCCCGUCGAUGCUCGACCCCGUUCCGGACGCUACCUGUGCCUGAAGAAGUUUGCCGGCGUGUAUGAGGGAGCGCUGAACGAGAAAAUGAAGAGUCCCACCCCGGCGAGGAAGCGGUUGUGCUGUGGUACGUGCACGAAUGCAGCUACGAUGAUCAUGUGAGUUUAGAGGUGUGCAAUUCUACUUCUCCUUCCGUACGAAAUGUACAAAAGAAAAUGAAAUUAAAUUAACUAAUUAAGAA